rnacentral:rRNA from 1 species
GACAGAGGGGGCAAGCGUUGCUCGGAAUUACUGGGCGUAAAGGGCGCGUAGGCGGGAUGGCAAGUCGGUCGUGAAAGCCUUCGGCUCAACCGAAGAACGUCGGCCGAUACUGCCGUUCUUGAGGGAUGCAGAGGAGACUGGAAUUCCCGGUGUAGCGGUGAAAUGUGUAGAGAUCGGGAGGAACACCGGUGGCGAAGGCGGGUCUCUGGGCAUCUCCUGACGCUGAGGCGCGAAAGCCAGGGGAGCAAACGGG